rnacentral:lncRNA from 1 species
GACUUGUGUGUACCAUUUUAUAAUCAGAAAAAUAUAAAGCCUAUUUUAAAGUGAGAAAAAUCUCUGAAACCAAAUGUUCAUAGAAUUCUAAACCCACAAUAAUGAAGUACCUAUAACAUCAUACCAACAGAAAUCCAGACACACGGUUCCAGCCCCACCGUCUCAGUCACACUGUGAGGCACGGAGCUCAUGGGGGCACCCCCAGGAAGAGCAGCAGUAAAAGCACAGACACCAGCUGGCAGUUCCUGCCUGAGGACCCGCUGCAGAGCGCUGGGGUGGAGAGGAGCGCAGAUCCCGCACAGCCACGGCCUGCAGCGCGAGAGUAAUGUUGAGGGCCAGACGGUGUGCUGAUGACCAGGCUGGUACUGUAUCUACAGGCUUUGACAGGUGCUGAACUCUGGACAGGGAUCACACUGAUCACCAGUGGACACAGUGAUCAAUACACUGACUGGACACAUUGAUCCGAACUGGACACAGUGAUCAUUCUGGACACACUG